CACGUGGGUAACCUGCCCAUCAGAAGGGGAUAACACUUGGAAACAGGUGCUAAUACCGUAUAACAAUCGAAACCGCAUGGUUUUGAUUUGAAAGGCGCUUUCGGGUGUCGCUGAUGGAUGGACCCGCGGUGCAUUAGCUAGUUGGUGAGGUAACGGCUCACCAAGGCCACGAUGCAUAGCCGACCUGAGAGGGUGAUCGGCCACAUUGGGACUGAGACACGGCCCAAACUCCUACGGGAGGCAGCAGUAGGGAAUCUUCGGCAAUGGACGAAAGUCUGACCGAGCAACGCCGCGUGAGUGAAGAAGGUUUUCGGAUCGUAAAACUCUGUUGUUAGAGAAGAACAAGGAUGAGAGUAACUGUUCAUCCCUUGACGGUAUCUAACCAGAAAGCCACGGCUAACUACGUGCCAGCAGCCGCGGUAAUACGUAGGUGGCAAGCGUUGUCCGGAUUUAUUGGGCGUAAAGCGAGCGCAGGCGGUUUCUUAAGUCUGAUGUGAAAGCCCCCGGCUCAACCGGGGAGGGUCAUUGGAAACUGGGAGACUUGAGUGCAGAAGAGGAGAGUGGAAUUCCAUGUGUAGCGGUGAAAUGCGUAGAUAUAUGGAGGAACACCAGUGGGCGAAGGCGACUCUCUGGUCUGUAACUGACGCUGAGGCUCGAAAGCGUGGGGAGCAAACAGGAUUAGAUACCCUGGUAGUCCACGCCGUAAAACGAUGAGUGCUAAGUGUUGGAGGGUUUCCGCCCUUCAGUGCUGCAGCUAACGCAUUAAGCACUCCGCCUGGGGAGUACGACCGCAAGGUUGAAACUCAAAGGAAUUGACGGGGGCCCGCACAAGCGGUGGAGCAUGUGGUUUAAUUCGAAGCAACGCGAAGAACCUUACCAGGUCUUGACAUCCUUUGACCACUCUAGAGAUAGAGCUUCCCCUUCGGGGGCAAAGUGACAGGUGGUGCAUGGUUGUCGUCAGCUCGUGUCGUGAGAUGUUGGGUUAAGUCCCGCAACGAGCGCAACCCUUAUUGUUAGUUGCCAUCAUUUAGUUGGGCACUCUAGCAAGACUGCCGGUGACAAACCGGAGGAAGGUGGGGAUGACGUCAAAUCAUCAUGCCCCUUAUGACCUGGGCUACACACGUGCUACAAUGGGAAGUACAACGAGUCGCGAAGUCGCGAGGCUAAGCUAAUCUCUUAAAGCUUCUCUCAGUUCGGAUUGUAGGCUGCAACUCGCCUACAUGAAGCCGGAAUCGCUAGUAAUCGCGGAUCAGCACGCCGCGGUGAAUACGUUCCCGGGCCUUGUACACACCGCCCGUCACACCACGAAAGUUUGUAACACCCGAA
rnacentral:rRNA from 1 species